UCAGGCUCAGGCUAACAAUCCAUUGAAAUUAAAAAAGUUCACAGUUCGAGCGAUGUAUCAGAAAAUCAGACAUUCGUACUGCGGGGGUAUUUUUUCGGGAGAUUUUGAGACCCGAAAAACCGUGUUAUUUUAUUUUUACCGCGCAGCGAGUACCGCGAGAUAUAAAAUACGAAUCGCAAAAGUUGAAAUUCUGCUUACCACGGAUAAAUUGCUCGAAUUGAAAGAAAAAAUAUCUCAAUCCUGACAAAAAUGCCGCAUCCAUUUACCGCUCACCGCAACGUUCAGUUGGCGUGAAAAAUUCUCGUGUCAUUGGUAGAGUGAGAGGAGGUUGAUAUCCGAGCGGAGGCUGAAGCGGCUCUCGGCCCGGUGCGGCGCGGUGGAUACGGUCGUGAUUCACUCGUCUCGUUUGCAACGGCAGCGCGGGUAUAUAAGUCGAGAGCCGUGGGGCAUCCAGAUCCCAGCCUCCGCACGGGGGCAGAGGGUAUCCGGAGGGAUGCGCGUGUACAACUGACAGAGACAAGCUGCCCCGAGACCGAGAGAAUUAUGGGAAACCUCGAAGGAAUUUGUGGCGAUGCUGUUUUUCGCCAAACGAGACGAAAGACAUCCGCGGAAUGGCCUCGCAAUUUUCGUUCUCCUCUUCUUUUAUCUCGACGUUUUACAACGUAACGAAUUUGCUUCUUCUCCUACCAUACCAAACUCCCCCUCCCCCCUCCUCGACCGUCUUACGGGUGGGAGUUAUUAUCUAUUGCAACAGACCGUUAAAUAGGGGCUAGAGAACAUAAAUAUCACCCUUGGAAUUCCGCGCUGUGUUCGUUCAACGCCCAGAUUAUGGAUAUAGGUAUAGGUGUAUACAGCAGAUAUACGCACUGAAUAUAUAUAUAUAUGUAUAUGAUGGCCAACGAGCGAAGCGAUCUCUUCGCGAGGUUUUGCAUUAAUUAAAUUACACGCUACAUUUACGAACUAUAUAUCUAUCGCUUCCGUUUCAAUUUAUAUGCCGCGCCGCAGAAGCGCACACGUCUCUUAAUACGCGAUAUCUGCGUACUCCUAGGAUUAAACAUGAACAAUAAUAAUUGGUACGUGGGCAUAAUGCGUAGACGGAGAUCAGCGAGAAGAGCUGUGAUUCAACAAUUUCAGGCACGCUUGCGUGAAACGCGGGCACGUAUGUAUUUAGCGAAUAUAACGUGAGCAUGUGUAAACACGUGUGCAGGCCGUAUCCACUCGAUUCAUCGCGCCGUUGACCAAGGUGUAAAAAAUAUUUAAUUUUUUAUUCAAAUUGCAACGCUCUCCCUACCGAGGUAUAACGAGGGUACGUAAAACCGCGCGGAUGUUGGCUAAUAAUAAAAAUGGCUGGUCGCUGGUACUCUUGAAUUUUUCAUCGAUUUCUUUUUUUUUCUCUCUCCUCUUUUUGCCCAUUCGUUUUACCCUGCAGCCCGCAAGCUGGUUUUCCGCGUUAACUUGAUCAACCAGUCCGACCUGGACUUCUCUCCGGAGACUUCGGACACCGUUUUUUUUAUUUUUCGCUUUUUUUCGCGCACAUUUGGUUUUUUUUCUUUCUCUCGGUACCGGCGACAACACCGGGCGCCGUCACGUCUGGUUUCCGCAACUUCCGCCCGAAAAUCACCCGCAACAAUUCGAACGACGUCCGCGGUUUACUCCGCUGGAUAUCAUCCAAUAUUCGGACGCUGUGAAAUCGAGACGGCAAGAAGUAAAAAAGCUGUGCAGUAAUUACAGGAAAAAAUCAGGAUAGAUGAGACAUCGGUUCCGGACGAGACGAACGGGAUCCUCGUUCGUUAUCAUACUUGUUACGAGAUCAUCCCGCGUUCUAUUUCCGGGGAACGAUCGUCGCUGACGUGGAGAAUCUUCAGCCGGUGGUCCACUGCAGGUUUCCAUGCUACAGUUGCACCCGAUCUCAUUGAAAGGUUCGCGAAGGGGGGGUCGGGAAAAGUUCAACGUCUUGACAAUAAUGACGUUUCAACACUAUCGGGUAAGAAUCCUAACUUAUAACAAGGUGAAUUUACAAUACGUGACGUCAAACGGGUGCAACUUCGCAAACUGACUUGUCGCGAUGUUUAAUGCUGUCAGAGUACAAGUCAGGCUUUUUUUUCAUAGUUUAGAAGGCAUGGAUACAGAAGGUGCUCAACCGACAUUUCUGGCUUACCUCGCUGCGCUUUAAUUGACCCGUCGAUCGUCGGCGGUUAAAAUUGCGAUUCAUGUCGAAACGGAAAAGUGGCGAAGCGCGCGGUUUCCGCUAAUCAAAGCUGAGAUAAAAAUGGCAGUAUAUAUGCGAACUCGACCGAAUAGCAACAGUUUUACAAUUAUACGUACAUAAAGGUGCGGUGUAUCCGGAGUAAGACAAUGCGAGGGAAGAGUUUGCAUACCGUCGUUGCUAAGUUUUCAGAGGUUCAACUCGUGCUUAAUAAACGACGUGUUCGGCGCUAACGAACAGAUGCACAAAGUAGCUGGUAGCAUCGUACCGCGGAAUAUUAUUACAAUUUGUAACUAGGAAAGUUAUACUAAAGCAAUUGUCGUGUACCAUAAUAGAAGAAACUUUUACCCCGCUUUCUCCGCUUCGCAUCGACCAUCACCUACUCUCGUUACACACCACCGACAAAUCCUUUAAUUAGAUUCUACCACCGGCUUAUAAUAACAAAGUGACAGAUUUACGCCCACACCGAAACCGUACAGACGAAUUUCGCGGUGUUGCAAUUGUCGGUGUUUAUAAUUCGUUUGAAAUACGUGGUAACUUUUCAUCCCACCGAUUCUCGUUCCCUUGCCGAAACGCGACGCGAGAACGCCCGGGAGUCGCGGACUCUUAACGAUAAUCCGAUGGGAACGGUGUGAAUUGUCGUUUGCGACGUUUGCGCCGAGUUGAACUCUGCGGCACGAGUACGUCAUCGAUUCGAAUGUAUAUUAUGGAAGGUAUAACGGGACAUUGUGUCGGCCGAGCGACAACGAGUUACCCAGGAAACAAUAGGCCUGCCUCCGAUCGUCUGACAAUAUCGGGUGUAUAAACGUCCCCGCAGAAGUGGACACGCCGCCGGACGGAGCGAGCAGAAGCAAUAUGAUGACGUUGUUUUGCGGACCGGCUCCGACCGCUGCCUUUGGGGAUUGUGGGAGGUUAAAUUGAAUUGUAAUGCCCAGGUGGCUUAAAUCGCUCAGACCAGCUUCCACCCUGUACGUACGGUACCCUGAUGGCCUGUCCAUUGCAUUAAGUCCUUACACUCAAAUUCCAUCCUGCCGUAUGCCCGUUCAGCGACGCGUGCAGGUCGCUUUUAAUGUCAGAUUUAUGUAACAUGUGUACAGAUUAAUCACGGCAAGUUAGACAAUACCGGGAUGAUUUUAGCUCGAUGAGUCGGUUCGGCUCGGCUACUUCCCUGAGCUUAACAGGGAAAAAUGAAUUUUAUUUUUGCGGUUUCACAGUUCAGGUCGAGUAACCCGUCGUUUCGUGUCUUCCGGUUUUUUUUCGUCGUUCGACGGUUGGAAUUCAAUGCAGCUGAUUCAAUUAGUAGACCUCGGUAUAUCAACACGUAUAUCAUACACGUAAUAAUCGCGAACUGAGUUUCAAAUUCCCGCUCG